GGGGGAGGAACUUGUUUACAGCUCACACACGCUGCUCUGAGUCCUUUCGACAGGGGAAGAAAGACAGCGAGCCAGAACUUGGCAGAGUGAGAGUGCAGCGCACCAGCGGUGAGUUUUCGGGGAUAAAAAUACUGCCGGUGAGCAGCCUCCAGCUCGGCGGUGAGACUGGAGGUACAACAGCCUGUGGGCUUUGAAGCAUCACUAUCGGUGGCAAUCAGCCCAGUGUGCUGAGGUCCCCGUUCGCAGCCGUCUGCGAAACCCGAGAGAAAGCGCCGACCCCGAGGUGUCCCUGGAAAGUAAAAUAAAGAUCUGAAAUGGGCGUCGACAUUAUGUAAGCAGAAAGCUUUGAGUUACCACACCAGAAAUAACUUUAUAUUCAGACAUUUAUAACAGGUGUGAGCUGGAAUUUAAACCUAAUUUGAGUGCGAGGCAUCCCUCAAAAAUCCUUCGGUGGAAGAAAAUCGACCACCCAUUCGCAUCAUGUCUGUGAAACCAAAAAGGCUCAGUUUGAAGCUAAAGCCGCUAUAAUCAAAACUCUUAUAUCAGCAAUGGGCCAAAUAGAAGCGGAAUAUUUUAGCUUAUAUUUGGCAGAUUUUUCUGUUAUUGUCACAUCAUUUUGCUUUGUGUGUUUACUAGAUGUUCAUAUUUACCUUUUGCAAGUAAAGUAAAACAAGAUCUCAUGUUUAUUGCAACUUCCUUUACUGUCUUUACUCAACUUUUGUUUCAGUUUCCUUUUGCCCGUUUGUUAUAAUGUGAUUUUUGUGUUUUGUAAAUGCUCAUUGUUUUUUAGUCACUAAUGUAAAGCUUGUCUUUAAUACGCCUCAGUGUAAAUUGUGCUAAAUGUCCUCCCUGGGAUCAAUACAGUUUAUAUUAAUCUCCGUAUGUUUUCACUGAAAAUUGGACUCGAGAUCAGUAUUCUUCAGUUUUUUGUGUCAUUUAUAAGUUAAAUGUAAGUAUUUCAUCUAUUUAACAAAAGAAACAGCCGCAUGAAGUCAACGGAUUACCAUUUAACACCACAUUUCCACAGCAUUUGUGAUGUUAUCAA
ensembl:lncRNA